rnacentral:lncRNA from 1 species
CAGAAGGACAGAGAUUACAAAGUCUUUGCGAUUCUGGUGUGUUCCCUGUUCUCGCUGUGAAGGCGGGGAGGAUCAGUGAGUUUAACGGGAAGCAAGUGAGCACCAUUGGAUCAAGCCAACUCGUCGUGGAGCCAGACUUACCUGAAGCCAGAGAGCUGAGGGCGUGGUACGAGAGAGAAGGACGUAAUGCUCCUUGUAUCUCGAUAUCUAGAGAGUUCUCUGGUGCUGGCAGGCAAGAGGCUUGCAAGGUGAUCACUCAAAUCAAGGACGAGAAUCUAGGGACCUCGGAGAAGCCGGACUGGAUCACAGUCAGUGCCACCAUUUCAUUCAUGAAGGUUGAGAAUUUCUGCUACACGGCUUGUCCUAUCGUGAAUGGAGACCGUCCGUGCAGCAAAAAGGUCACCAAUAACGGAGACGGGACUUGGCGGUGCGAGAAAUGCGACAAGUGCGUGGAUGAGUGUGACUACAGGUAUAUAUUGCAGCUGCAGUUACAGGACCAUACGGGAGUGACGUGGGCCACAGCGUUUCAGGAGGCUGGUGAGGAGAUAAUGGGAAUGCCUGCUAAAGAUUUGUAUUAUAUGAAGAAUGAGGAUCGUGAUGAGGAGAAAUUUGAAGACAUCGUCCGCAAGGCCGCUUUCACCAAGUACAUUUUCAAGCUGAAGGUGAAGGAAGAAACUUUUAGUGACGAAAGCCGUGUGAAAGCAACAGUUGUGAAAGCUGAGAAGCUGGACUAUUCUUCAGACACCAGGUACCUGCUAGAGGCAAUGAAUAAACUCAGAACGGAAGAUGCAAAUCCUCUCACUGUAAACCCUGAGGGUUCCAACUACAGGUCUGGUGCGUUUAAUUCCGGUGUUGGAACCUCAGGAACCAGAGAGACCUCAUCAGCUGACGUGCCACGCAGAGAGUUUGGACUACCUGCAGCAAACCAAGUGAAUCAGUUCGGUAAUCAACAGAGUACACCCCUUGGUGGUGUUACUUUAUGUGAUGCGUGUGGGAGCAAUGCUCAUGUUUUUGCCAACUGCCCAAGCUUUCUGAGUGAGCCACAAGGACAACAAAUGAAUAGCGCUUACGGGAACACACCGGGAAGAAACGCAGGUGGAGGCAUGCCAGGGCAACACUAAAGAUGAUUUUGCUUUGUAUCAUUCUCUUUACUCUGGAUAAAGUAAACUUCUGUGAUCAUAAUCUGAUUCAAGCAACGUCUUUACCGGGGAAUUAUUCACCUUUUAUUAUAACCAAUUUUUAAGGAAUAAAAGGCUGUUUUACACAAUAUUACUGAAUUAUAAAUCCUUCCAACACAAAACAUUGCAAUCCUCGCAUAGUAAUUUUGUAGUUUUAAUAAGAACAUGUAUCAAUAGCAGAGCCCAGUUGAUUUAGCAGAUUCUCCAACAUUCGCAUUGUAAUAAACCUCCUUCACUCCUUCCCCUGCACCACAAUGUCCUUUAGCAAAGCCUGAACCAUCAGAGACCUCAUUGUAUCCAUCACCCGCGGUAACAGUGGAUGUUUCAGCAACUGUAUUAGCAGCCAACGCUUUGAGACGGUAACGUUCAGCUCUUGACCCAAUGACCUGUCCCAAGAUCGAAGCUCCGAUGGUCAAAGCCAUGGCUGCUUUAGGCAUCAGCACAGAUUUCCUGAGCAUAGCUAUGAAAGGCACAGCAGCAUGGACCGCCACAAACCAAGAAGGCGAAAACUUUAUGGUGUGUUCUCUCCAAACACCGAGAGGCACGUUUGCAGCCAUCCCCAUGAGAGCGAUUGCGAGCAUCUUUUCAGGUAAAGGCUGAGGGCGAAGGCUUUUAACCAAAGGGGUCUUGGAAAGCGCAGCUCUUGCGGCUACUAUAGGAGCUGGACAUCUAAACUUCAUACCAGGCGGUGGCUGUAAUGCUUUAGCAACAAGAGGCAUGACUUUGCUUGCAGCUCUGUAAGAUUUAGCGAUUGGACAGUUCCCAGUUUUUAACCAUUCGUCACCAACCGCCUCGUGUUUCGAUGUGUCCCCAGACUGCACAAAAGCAAAACCGAAUAAGUUGCUGAUCUCCCCAUAGUAAAGACUAAGUUUGUACAUUCUUACCUCUUGUUUUUUGGGUUUCUUCUGUUGUUUCUUGAACUUGUCAGAGAAAGGACCAAACCCAAAAGGUCCUCCAGGACCAAAAGCUGAUAGGCUUAUGGUAGCUACCUUCCCCGCAAGAGGAUUGAACUGCGGAGCAGCACGAGGAGUCUCAUCUUCAACAUCAUCUCUGAAACUAGAAUGUCCAGAUAACGGCACGAUACCGUCUUUGCCAUGGAAGAGCUUGAAAGCAGAAUCAAAGCCCGGACCAUCCUCAAAAAUAGGACCUUUGCUACCUUGUUGAACCUGAAAGACAAAAGUCAAAGUCCUUUAACCACCACUGAAUCAAGUUAAAGCAGAUGGAAUCAAAUAUUACAGGAACUGGGAAACUCAAGGAGGAGAGGGAGAAGCUGGUAGGCUUGUUGAUGUUCCUGAGGAAAGGGCACUUUUGGAUGAUGCUUUCGGCAACGAAGGGACACUGGGAUGAUUUUUGAUCCAUUGAUUUCCUUUUCUCUGAGCAAAAUAGCCUGAGAAAUUGAAAAUUAAAAAAAAAAAAAGAAACAAACAAACCCAGGAUAAGAAGAACACAAUUGAAACACUCAGGACUUCAAAUUAUACACUUGGCGAUUAAAAUCACACGAAAAUAAGAAUCGUUCAGUAGAAUUUCGAAUGAGCUAUAACGUUAUAGAUUUAAGGAAUUAACAAAUCGAUCGCUAAACUUAUACAAGAGAUCUGAUUCAUAUGCGAGCAAACAAUUGUAUAACGAACGGAUCGAUGAUAAAUCACGAACUCGAAUCGAGAGAAUCAAUUACCUGAGAAUUUUUUUGCAGAGAGAUGAUUUUGAUUAAAACGUGUGGCCAACACAGACGUGUAUAAGAGUUUGUAUGAUUGUUACCGGCUGGGUCGGUGAACCGUGGAGAGCUGAGGGCGUGGUGCAUUCGGAGGUAGAAGCACUGCGGUGGGCGAUGGAGAAUAUGCUGCAGCACUCGACCUGCCAGAGCUUUGGGACAGACGGUAAGGAACUGAUUGCUAUGGUUAAGGAUCCCCAGGCGUGGCCAAGCUUUGCGACGGAAUUUGAGAGAAUAGAGAUGCUUCAAAUCUUCUUCCCGGACUUCAACAUCACUUACGUUCCACGGGCGUAUAAUCAGACUGCAGAUUUUUUAGCUAAGACUGCUAGAUCUUUCCGUAGAGAGUUACACUUUGUUGGUUAUUUUAUUCCGGUCUGGUUACCCAUGCCACCUCAAGUUUGAGUAAUAGAGUAGCCUUUUGAUGAAAAAAAAAAUAAAAAAAUAGAGAUCUUUAUUAGAGAAAAAUAUAGAGAGUACAUGGAGAUGGUCUAAAACGUUCUAGUCUCCCUCUCGAAGGUUUGAUAAAGCUCCCACCUUUCCACCACUUAGGGCUCCUCCUUGUUCAAUCCCCAAUUCAAUUGGGCCUUUCUCGAUGGCGGCGAAUUUAACGGCGGGGGCGAUUGGGAAGAUGCUGAACGGAGAAGUGACGGAGAAAGAAAUGACGCCGAUUGUGCAAGUGACGGAGUUGAAGCUGAUUCAACAAGCCCGGAAAAACCAGGAGAGCAUGGAAAGGUACAAGCUUUCGUUAUCAGAUGGGUUCCAAUCGCAAGAAGGGAUACUUAAUAAUACCUUGAACCUUCUCGUGAAGGAAGGGAAGAUUCAAAUCGGGUCUGUCUUAAGACUCACUCGUUUCGCCUCCAACAGCAUUCAGAUUCGAAGGUAAAAGCUCACAUCUUCUCAGUUGAUAAUCUACUUGUUGUCCCCUUAUAGUGUGGAUGACACACUUGUUGUGAUGAUAGGAUUGUUAUUGUCUUGGAACUAGAGAUUAUUGCGGAGCAAUGCAAUAUCAUUGGAAACCCUCUUCCUGCACACCCGGGGAAGCCUAGAAACUCUGGCCAAGAUCAGACACAACAACAACAACCUGGAGUUGUUUCUGUUAACACACAAAGUAAUGGUGGCUUCGAGCAGCAACAGGCUACAAGGAGUGAACUGAAUGGUGCUGUGAGACAUGGUUCUGCUCAACAACAUCAAGUUGGUGAGAGACGAGCGUUUGGUACUGCUUCUGAGUUUCCUGAAACAACAACACCUUCCGCUAGACCAUUUGCGAGCUCUAACGCGGGUUACGGAAGCUCUAGGCAGGAGCAAACGAGGCCUCCUCCAACGACUUAUUCUCGUCCGCCAGUUCAGUCUGGUUAUCAGGCCCAGCCACCAUCCAUGUACGCUAACACGGGACCAGUGACUAGGAACGAAGCUCCUCCCACGGUAGUUCCUAUUUCUGCUCUGAACCCUUACCAGAAUCGCUGGACCAUCAAGGUGAGAGUCACGAGUAAAGGAGAGCUCAGGCGUUUCAACAGCACCCGUGGGGGAGAAGGGAAGGUGUUCAGUUUUGAUCUAGUUGACGCUGCUGGCGGAGAGAUUCGGGUGACUUGUUUUAAUGAUGUGGUUGAUAGAUUCUUUGACAUGAUUGUUGUUGGUAAUGUUUACCUCAUCACAAAGGGGAAUUUGAAGCCUGCUCGUAAAGAGUAUAAUCAUCUCCCCAAUGAUUAUGAAAUACAUUUAGACAAUGCUUCAACGAUUCAGCAAUGCUAUGAGGAUGAUGCUACCAUUCCGCGGAAUCAGUUCCAUUUCAAGGACAUAAGUGCUAUUGAAAGCAUGGAGAGCAACAGCAUCACUGAUGUUAUUGGCAUCGUGUCUUCCAUCAGCCCGACAGGCUCAAUCAUGCGGAAAAACGGAACCGAGGCACAGAAAAGAGCACUUCAGCUGAAGGAUAUGUCAGGCAGAAGCGUGGAGGUAACCAUGUGGGGUAAUUUCUGCAACGCAGAAGGACAGAGAUUACAAAGUCUUUGCGAUUCUGGUGUGUUCCCUGUUCUCGCUGUGAAGGCGGGGAGGAUCAGUGAGUUUAACGGGAAGCAAGUGAGCACCAUUGGAUCAAGCCAACUCGUCGUGGAGCCAGACUUACCUGAAGCCAGAGAGCUGAGGGCGUGGUACGAGAGAGAAGGACGUAAUGCUCCUUGUAUCUCGAUAUCUAGAGAGUUCUCUGGUGCUGGCAGGCAAGAGGCUUGCAAGGUGAUCACUCAAAUCAAGGACGAGAAUCUAGGGACCUCGGAGAAGCCGGACUGGAUCACAGUCAGUGCCACCAUUUCAUUCAUGAAGGUUGAGAAUUUCUGCUACACGGCUUGUCCUAUCGUGAAUGGAGACCGUCCGUGCAGCAAAAAGGUCACCAAUAACGGAGAUGGG